GAUGAACGCUGGCGGCGUGCCUAAUACAUGCAAGUCGAGCGAACAGACGAGGAGCUUGCUCCUCUGACGUUAGCGGCGGACGGGUGAGUAACACGUGGAUAACCUACCUAUAAGACUGGGAUAACUUCGGGAAACCGGAGCUAAUACCGGAUAAUAUAUUGAACCGCAUGGUUCAAUAGUGAAAGACGGUUUUGCUGUCACUUAUAGAUGGAUCCGCGCCGCAUUAGCUAGUUGGUAAGGUAACGGCUUACCAAGGCAACGAUGCGUAGCCGACCUGAGAGGGUGAUCGGCCACACUGGAACUGAGACACGGUCCAGACUCCUACGGGAGGCAGCAGUAGGGAAUCUUCCGCAAUGGGCGAAAGCCUGACGGAGCAACGCCGCGUGAGUGAUGAAGGUCUUCGGAUCGUAAAACUCUGUUAUUAGGGAAGAACAAAUGUGUAAGUAACGAUGCACGUCUGGACGGUACCUAAUCAGAAAGCCACGGCUAACUACGG
rnacentral:rRNA from 1 species